rnacentral:miRNA from 1 species
CUGCCUGGCGCAGGGCCUGUAG